GGGAGGGGGUGACUAGUGACGGAGUGAGGGAGGUUGUGAUUAGUGACAGAGUGAGGGAUGGGGUGACUAGUGACAGUCACCACCUCCUUCACUCUGUCACUAGUCACCAUCUCCCUCCAUCUGUCACUAGUCACGCCCUCCCUCAUUCUGUCACUAGUCACCCUCUCCCUCACUGUCACUAGUCAUCCACUCCCUCCC